rnacentral:rRNA from 1 species
GACGGAGGGGGCAAGCGUUGUCCGGAAUUACUGGGCGUAAAGCGCAUGUAGGCGGUCGUGUACGGCGAUGGUGAAAGCCCCCGGCUCAACUGGGGGAGGCCCGUCGCACCGGCACGACUCGAGGGCGGUAGAGGUCAACGGAAUUCCUGGUGUAGCGGUGAAAUGCGUAGAGAUCAGGAGGAACACCCGUGGCGAAGGCGGUUGACUGGGCCGUGCCUGACGCUGAGAUGCGAAAGCUAGGGGAGUGAACGGGAUUAGAUACCCCGGUAAUCCUAGCUGUAAACGAUGGACACUAGGUGUCAGCGGUAUCGACCCCGCUGGUGCCGGAGCUAACGCGUGAAGUGUCCCGCCUGGGGAGUACGGCCGCAAGGUUG